rnacentral:pre_miRNA from 1 species
UCGGAUUUGCUGGUCGGACAUAUUCUGUGACGGUAUUUGUGUCCGAUCUACAAACCCGCGU